UUCCAGACUCCUACGGGAGGCAGCAGUGGGGAAUAUUGCACAAUGGGGGGAACCCUGAUGCAGCGACGCCGCGUGGGUGAAGGAGUAUUUCGGUAUGUAAAGCCCUAUCAGCAGGGAAGAACAAUGACGGUACCUGACUAAGGAGCACCGGCUAAAUACGUGCCAGCAGCCGCGGUAAUACGUAUGGUGCAAGCGUUAUCCGGAUUUACUGGGUGUAAAGGGAGCGCAGGCGGCGCGUUAAGCCUGGUGUGAAAGCCCGCGGCCCAACCGCGGGACUGCAUUGGGAACUGGCGCGCUGGAGUGCCGGAGGGGUAGGCGGAAUUCCUAGUGUAGCGGUGAAAUGCGUAGAUAUCAGGAGGAACACCGGCGGCGAAGGCGGCCUGCUGGACCGUGACUGACGUUGAGGCUCGAGAGCGUGGGGAGCAAACAGGAUUAGAUACCCCGGUAAC
rnacentral:rRNA from 1 species